rnacentral:misc_RNA from 1 species
GAUGAAGAACGCAGCGAAAUGCGAUAAGUAAUGUGAAUUGCAGAAUUCAGUGAAUCAUCGAAUCUUUGAACGCACCUUGCGCCCUUUGGCUAUUCUGAAGGGCAUGCCUGUUUGAGUAUCGUGAACACCUCAACUCUCAUGGUCUGCCAUGAUGAGCUUGGACUUUGGGGGUCUUGCUGGCCUACUGUCAGCUCCUCUCAAAUGAAUCAGCUUACCAGUGUUUGGUGGCACCACAGGUGUGAUAACUAUCUACGCGUGUGGUUUUCUGCCAGGUAACCUCCAGUGAUGGAGGUUCGCUGGAGCUCACAAAUGUCUCUCCUCAGCGAGGACAGCUUUUUGAACGUUUGAUCUCAAAUCAGGUAGGACUACCCGCUGAACUUAAGCAUAUCAAUAAGCGGAGGA